GUUAUUUUUUUUGAGAGUUCAUAUCGAAAAAAAAGUUUGCGACCUCGAUGUUGAAUUAAAAUUAUCUUUAUAGUGCAGCUGCUAUAAAAGAGG
rnacentral:rRNA from 1 species